UUCUCUGCUUCCUCCGUUUCAGCUUGACAUCUCCUCAAACGCUACCUGACAGCCUGCCGCCAUCACCCGCGAAUCAGGUUUGUCCCACAUACUAGAGCUGACAAACACCAUAUUCACGCCAAGGAAUUUUGAAAGCAAAUAUGUCACAUCGAUGAUGACGAUGACGACAACGACGACGGUCAGAAAAUGAUUAGGAAAGAACACCCUGGCAGCCUUUGUUGCUAGAAUCUGCUCAUGGGCAAAUGGCAAAGCUAUUCACAUGGAAGACAUUAAACCAUUAACACCGUAGUGUUCCUGUUUGAUCUGAGCCUGGGGUCACUGUUUCAGGACUGCAAGUGAGAAAGAGAAAGUCACACACACACACAAUGACACAUUCUCCAGGAUCACACAGGGUCUCCAGUGCACACAACCCAGGAUUCCUCUCCCGCCAGCCCUUACACUGUAUCUGUGAAUCUGGCUGUUCUGAGAUUACCACCAUAUCAAACUUGGGCAUCCUUUCUUACUCUCAGCUCUGAUUCUAGAUCAUCUUGCCUCUUACAGUGCAACUAGAGCAAGCUCCAUAGGCUGCUUUCACCGCGCCUUACAGAAACCCUUCACGGCCACGCCCACCCGCCCACUGACUUCCACUGAGGUCAGCCGCGGUAGGGAAACGAGAUCUGCUUCCUCCUCCACUGGUGUGCACCUUAGCUUUGCAGUCCCCUUCCCCUGCUGUCUUCUUUGGGUGCUCGGUAGAAUGCCGACUCAAGUUGGCCAUAAAUUCACACCCCUUGAUCACAGAGAUGCGUCCACUCAUAGACUGACACCCUGUUUAUCAUAGGGGCUCACUAAAUAUUUGUUAAAUGAGUGAAUGAAAUUAUUUCACCAAGGAUACACCGAAAGACUUAAAUCUCUUUCCAUGUUUUCCAAAAAUAUUCUUCUUUUUUUAAGGAGAAACAUCUAAAAAGGAUUAUGAUUUGUUAUAUUUUAUGUUUUUUUUAUAAAAAACUUACGCAUUUAUUUGCUAUGUUGAGGGUUGAACCCGUGGCCUCUAGCUUGCUAGGCAAAUCCUCUUCCAUCCCCAUGCCAAAAACUUGCUCCAUUUUAAAGUCGCCAUCUCUCAAGUCAGGGUUUUAAAUGUUUAUGAAGCAACUGCAUUUAACUCUGCUAUUCAAAGAUAAUAACAGAAUUUAUAAAAAUUACAUUCUUAGUGUUGGGACACCAACUUAACAUAGGCUGACAACUGACUCUUUGCUCUGGCCAGUUGAUGCCUAGCUGCGAUAGGAGUAUUAAGGCGUCAGAGGCUCCUCCUGCAAGGGACCCAGAGACUGGGGCUCUGCUAUCCGCUGCAAGCUGUAGGACACUAUAUGCUUGUAUUCCCUUCCUUCCUAUCUAGGUACUCACCAUAUGCCCAACCUGGCCUUCAAAGAUUCAACCCAGUCCUCCCCUCCCAUGCUUUCAUGGGGCUCCCUAGGCACAAAAUUUUUCUCAUUGGUGCAACUUCCCAUAACAAUUUAACAUGUUAAGAUAUGAUUUGUCCUAUGCAUGUUUGGUGUACUGGUCUUCAUUGCUUUAUGAGAGCAGGGUCCACCAUCCAUCUCUUUGAGCUCAGUCUGCCUCCUGCUUUGUAGCACUGAAUGCCCACAGAUUCUCACAACGUACUUCUUGAAUAAAUAAACAGCUCUGUCAAUGCAGGUAGACAUAACAGAUGGCUGGCGUGUUGGCAUGAGGCAUGAGGCUGCCUGGCCCCGUUAGCGAAGCGGGCGAGAGGGGCGAGAGGGGCGAGAGGGGCAGUUCGCAUCUGUUGGAGGGUUAGCAGGGGAAGGCUGCAGAUAUGGAGGUAGGCGGGGCUGAGGAAGGCUGCAGAUUCGGAGGUAGGCAAGACUAGGGACUGGGGUGGAAUGGGCACAUUGCUGCGGUUCAGAGCACCUCUGCCUCUUGUUUCUCAUCCGGGCAUGCAGAGGUGGUUUUUUUUUUUUUCCUAUGUCACAGUUCGGUAUUAAGACCAAAUGAGAAAUGAGCUUUAAAGUGGUGGCCCCACUGUUGUAGAUAGCAAUAUUCUUCUACAUACUCGUUUGUGGUUCAUGUUGCUCACAUGAACAUUCGGACGCACAUCUGCCACAGACCCAUGAUGAGUUAUAAACUGGGAAACCUGAGCGACAUACCUUUUCCUGUUCCUCAUAUUUUCAAGGCUGGAGUUCUCAGACUAUGAUGUGGACACAGCGGGGCAAUCAAGAGGACUUGAAUAAGAACACUAAUCUAUUUGAUAAGGGCCCCGCCCCACAGCCUGACCACCUCCCAAGGGCUCCCCAAAGGGUGACAUCUCAUCUCAUGGAAGGAGCGCGACCUUUCAGUCCCUGUGAUUUUUCUGGCUGUUGCCCCAUGACUUGUUAGACUCUUUUCAUCAGUACCGAGCUUACCAGUGUGACUUUACCAAGUGACACGCCGUGACGAGGCAGAGGCUUCCAACGAGUGCACGGAUUGUUCUUCUAUAAAAAAAAAUGGACUAUCUCCAACAGCAAAUGGAAGUACUCGGUCCAUGCUUGGAUCGUGACAAGGGCUCAGUGGAAACCAUCAGGGCAAGCAUGCUACGACUUCGGCUCUAACUUCCUCAUUUGCACUGGCUUGUCUUAACAGGAAAAGCCACAUCCUUGGACUCGCUGAGGUGGUCUGUCAGAUGCGAUAGCCCGGCUAGGAGCGAGAAACACAACUGAAAUCUGCCCCAGAUUUUAAUCAUGGUCAUGGGCCCUUUUCUCGGACUAUUUCACUACAGAUAAUUAAUGAAAUUUCUUCCAGUUUAAAGAAUUUUCCGUAUCUAUAGUCAAGGAACUUCUGGAAUCUUUCUUAUAAGUGAGUACCAGUAACAUCACUUGUUAACGGGGCCAUCAGGAGCCUCAACUUCUUGGCUCAUUGCUGUCUUCAUGGGGCUAAGGUUAGUCCUCAGCCUUGGCCAGCCUUCUAGGUAAUGUUGUGUUUAUAGGAUCUUGAAAGAUAACUCUUUAAAAUUAUUUUGUUUUAUUUCCUGUAACUUAAGGUCACAGCGCUCUUGGCCAGAGGGAAAAAGUCAUUUCCUAGGAAAAGGGAAACCACACUUCCUGGGGAUGUGAAAGCCCCUUUGGCUGCCAGCUACUCCUCUGACUGUAAGGGCGGAAAAUAAAAAGCAGGUGCAAUGUGAAAAGAGUGACCCAGGCUCCCAGUAGGCAGAACUCAGGCUGAGAAGCAAAGCCCAGGCUGGCUUCCAGCCAGGUGACCCUGUCACUCAUUCCUCUAGGUUUGGAUUUCCCCAUAUGUGACAAUAAAGGAUCUGCAAACUCCUGU
rnacentral:lncRNA from 1 species